UUUUAAAAAGUGGCCGGUGCGACGGCUCAGCCUGACAGUCUGAGUUCAUGGGACCCACAUUGGAUGAAGAGAAUCAACCCCUCAAAGUUGUUCACUGAUCUCCACGCAUGAGAGAACAGCAUCAAGAGCCUCUGCUGCCCAGAAUGUGCAUGCUCACUCCUCUCCUGGCUCAGGCUCUGCAGAAGAUCACUGUAUCAACAAGGCUGGCCAGAGCCCUCCUGCCCACUCCAACCCCCUGAGCCUGCUCUUCUACAGGACAUAUCAUGGCACCACCACCCGCGCCACUUCACAGCUUCUUCAGUGUUAUGGUCUGGCUCACUCACAAGAACAAAAGUUCUGCAAAAGGGAAGGGAGCAGAGUCUUUGUUUCUAGGAAAGUGUUCAAUAAAAGUAUUUUACUGCCUGAAUAA